AUUGAACGCUGGCGGCAUGCCUUACACAUGCAAGUCGAACGGUAACAGGUCUUCGGAUGCUGACGAGUGGCGAACGGGUGAGUAAUACAUCGGAACGUGCCCGAUCGUGGGGGAUAACGGAGCGAAAGCUUUGCUAAUACCGCAUACGAUCUACGGAUGAAAGCAGGGGACCGCAAGGCCUUGCGCGAACGGAGCGGCCGAUGGCAGAUUAGGUAGUUAGUGGGAUAAAAGCUUACCAAGCCGACGAUCUGUAGCUGGUCUGAGAGGACGACCCGCCACACUGGGACUGAGACACGGCCCAGACUCCUGCGGGAGGCAGCAGUGGGGAAUUUUGGACAAUGGGCGCAAGCCUGAUCCAGCAAUGCCGCGUGCAGGAUGAAGGCCUUCGGGUUGUAAACUGCUUUUGUACGGAACGAAAAGGCUCUGGUUAAUACCUGGGGCUCAUGACGGUACCGUAAGAAUAAGCACCGGUUAACCACGUGCCAGCCGCCGCCGUAACAC
rnacentral:rRNA from 1 species